rnacentral:misc_RNA from 1 species
GCAAACUUGGUCAUUUAGAGGAAGUAAAAGUCGUAACAAGGUUUCCGUAGGUGAACCUGCGGAAGGAUCAUUACAGAAUGAAAGUGCUUAACUGCAUUUUUUUUACACAUGUGUUUUUCUUUUUUUUUGAAAACUUUGCUUUGGUGGGCCCAUGGCCUGCCAGAGAUUAAACUCAACCAAAUUUUUAUUUAAGUCAACUGAUUAACUAAUAGUCAAAACUUUCAACAACGGAUCUCUUGGUUCUCGCAUCGAUGAAGAACGCAGC